UGUUACGCACUUGGGACGCCACUGGGGUCCGCGUCGCUGCUACGCAGCGGCAGGCGCUGGGAGUGACCAAGCGCUCUGCUGGUUUGGUUGCCUGCGUCUCACUGUUGGAAGUGGGGGAUUAUUUGGGGAGGGAUCCUGGUUUUGUGUAUUUUUGAGAAGAACGUAGAUAGUCCUUUCCUGGAACGGGAGAGCGGCCCGGUCCUAGUGCCCGCUAAUACUAGGGGCUGUGGAGCGGACGGAGGUUGUGGCCCUACCUAAGCGUGACCUCGCUCCGCGAAGCCGCCCGCGGGGCGCUGAUGGCCGAACGCAUUCUGGGAAAGACUUUAGCCACGGUGUCUCUCUCUGUGGCCUUGGCCUCUGUGACUGUCAAGUCCUCGGGCUGUUGCAGCAUUCCGGCGUGCAGAAACUCAUUUUUAUCCUGUGGGUUUCAUCUUAACUCCAACAUCAUGUCUAGUUCUAAUGGUGCCAAAGAGAAUUCGCACAACAAGGCUCGAACAUCUCCGUAUCCUGGUUCAAAAGUCCAACGCAGCCAGGUUCCAAAUGAGAAAGUAGGAUGGUUUGUUGAGUGGCAAGACUAUAAUCCUGUGGAAUACACUGCUGUCUCUGUCUUGGCAGGACCCAGGUGGGCCGAUCCUCAGAUCAGUGAAAGUAACUUCUUUCCCAAGUUUAAUGAAAAGGAUGGGCAUGUUGAGAGAAAGAGCCAGAAUGGUCUAUAUGAGAUUGAAAAUGGAAGACCCAGAAAUCCUGCAGGACGGACAGGACUGAUUGGCCGGGGGCUUUUGGGGCGAUGGGGCCCAAAUCAUGCUGCAGAUCCCAUCAUAACCAGGUGGAAAAGGGAUAGAAGUGGAAAUAAAAUUACCCACCCUGUUUCUGGGAAAAACAUCUUACAGUUUGUGGCAAUAAAAAGGAAAGACUGUGGAGAAUGGGCAAUCCCAGGGGGGAUGGUGGACCCAGGAGAGAAGAUUAGUGCUACACUGAAAAGAGAAUUUGGUGAGGAAGCUCUCAACUCCUUACAGAAAUCCAGUGCAGAAAAGAGAGAAUUAGAGGAACAGUUGCACAAACUCUUCAGCCAGGAACAUCUAGUGAUAUAUAAAGGAUAUGUUGAUGAUCCUCGAAACACUGAUAAUGCAUGGAUGGAGACAGAAGCUGUGAACUACCAUGAUGAAACAGAUGCCAAGCUGUGAGCAGUCCUAUGGAGAGGACCACAUGGUGAGGAAAUGGAAUCUUCCAACAGUAGCCAUGUGGGCGAGUUCAGAGGAGAUCCUAAGAUAGAACUGUCCAGAAAAACAACUCCUAGAUUCCUGAUCCUUGGAAACUGUGAACUUAUGAGAAGACAGAGGCAAAGAGUGUGUAAGGUAAAACACUAGAGAGUGCCCGGAUGCAAGUCCUGGUAGACGCCCCAGAAUCCCCCUGGAUAACCACUGUACUGUGGUGCACUGUGAAGAUGGGAGGAGCCGGCAGGAACUCGGAAAAUGGAUUUAUUCUGGGCUGUGCAGUAUGUGCUUUGAAGUGAGGUUAUUUCUCUCUUCCUUUGCCUUCCCAGUAGUUCUCCCCCCCGCACUCCAGAGUAAACUGGUCACUGUUUUAGUAGCUUUCUUGUUCAUUUUCUUAACACCUAUUCAUCGAAUCUCUAAAGAAAACAUUUAGCUACUCCAAUUGGUGUACAUAGUUGGUUGCAUAAUAGGAAGGAAACAGGCCAAGACUGGAGACUUCAUUUCUAAAGAAGGAUUUUAGAGCAGACUAAGAGUUAUUUCACAGAGUGGGUCAUGAAACUCAGUCUCUCUAUACCCUUUCAUCGCUAUGACGACAGGCUGCUCCUGCUACAUGUAGCCAGAAAAAGCAGCUGACAUUUCAAUGCUAGGAGCACAGGGGGAGAGGUUUACAAAAACAAAAAACAAAACCCAAACCCUUUCGUUUGAAUUUCAGUUAGAAAGGAAAAAAUACCCCUGGAGCAAGUCAAAACCCCUAUUCUUGCCUUUAGAAAAGAUAAGAAAGGAGAAAUGUUGGGGGCCUUCUCCCCUGUCCAACUAGGCCAAUAAAACAGAAUCAACUGCAAAGCAGCAUUUCAUCUCACUCUCUUAAUGGCAAUCUGAAACAGAAAACUCCCUUUGGUUUCAUUUGACUUGGUCCUUAAGAAGAAACUAAUUGAUGAAGCAGUAAAGACUCACAGUAAUAAAUACUUCAUGUUGAGCACCCCCCCCCCCCAGGGGAGUACAGUAGAUUCAGAUUUAUUUUUCCAUUCCUUUGGAUAAAAAAAAAAAAGACAAUUCAAAGAAUAUUUCCUUCUCAAUCCCCAAUUCUGUUAUCAGAAAAAUCAUUUCGAGUGUAUAACUGAAUACUUUCUCACGCUGUGCCACUGUGCCAGGUGCUACACUUGGUAUUUUAAAAACAUCUCAUUUAACUCCUACAACAACUGCAUUUGUGGGUAUUAUUAUCACUGCUUGCUUAAUAGAUGGGUAAACUAAGAAACCUUGAGGGAAAACCGAGAGUAAAUUCCUUUUUACAGAGUUCCAGUUGGGAUACCUAGGUAGGGUGGUGUUUUCAUUAUUAGCUAUGAUUAACUGAUUGCUUCAUAUGCACCAGGCAUAGGAGUUUUCUUGACUUAAUUAGCAUAACAAAUCUCUGAAAUGGCAAAUAAUUUUAUGAUCCUCAUUUCCACAGAUGAGGGGACUGAGGCUCAAAGACUCAUUUGUCCAAAGUCACAGAUCCUGGUAAAGCCCAGGUAUAAGCCUCGUCUGUGUGUUUCCAGAAUUCAUGAUCUUACUUUCUUACACCAUCUCCUACAAUUAUUAGAGACCGCACAUUCUGUCCCCCAGAGUUCUGUGUACCUUUUGAUGCCCAACACAAAAACCAGGCCCAGGUGGUAUUACCAGUGCAAGCUCAGCCUUUGGCAGAAGAUGCCCUGUGGGCCUUGUGUGAACCAGACCCCAGCUUAGCUGGGCAUCUCUUGGGCAGCCAGGUCUACUGGGGAAGUUCUCCUGGAUUUAUGGGGCCCCUUUCCCCUUCACUGAAGGCUGUUCCAGAAGGACAUGUAAAGGAAAAGGGCACCUGAAGUCUUUUAACAGCAGUUGUUUAUGUUUUUCUUGGUGGAAAAAGCAUAAACAAACAAAUGUUUGUAUACUGUUAUUAAAUGGAAUAAAAAUAAUAGUCAAGAGAAAAUGAAAUGAAUAGUGUUCUGGAGUUGUCUAGAGACAUCACUGUUCAUUUCAUUCUUGUCAUCACUAUUUAUUUUUAUGUAGUUGAUAAGUGAAGUUGCACAUGAGAAAGUACUGGGGAUUGAACCCCAAAAGAUCUGGAGAAGAAACCUCAGGAAUUGCUAAAUAGGUGCACAGAAAUUCCAUAAAAGGAAAAAGGCAAGAUUCAUGAAUAACAUGUACGCAUUCUUUUUAAAAAUUUGGGAAGUAGCAUUAGUUGAUUGGAUGAUAAGUAGAUGAAACAGACUGAUUGCUCUUCUUUGCUAGAUCUGGUUGAAUGAAUAGAAAUAUAAACUUAAAUCUUUCCUAAGAGGGGUGUCCUUUUUUUAAACAGUCAUGGUUAACAAUAGUCACUACCACCAAAGUUUAGAUGAAUAAGCUCCGAACUCAAAAAAAGUUGGUAUCCAAGAGAGAGGGGAGAAUUUAUGAAAAAGAUUUUUGCUGAGUUGGAUCGAGUGAACAUUUCUAUUCAGUGCAGUCAGGCAGUGGGCCAGAGGAAAGCUCAGACACAAUGCCAAGGUGACAUAUUUAACCUCUUUGCAGAUUAAAGGCAGUGCAAAAGAGACAGUCUUUCCUCAGUACCGCUUGGUUAUAGUAUCAACAGCACCCAUCUACAGUUGAAAGGAUGGUUUUCUCCUGCAGGGGGACCUCUAAUAGCUAGGAGGAAUGAGUGAGCAUGACGUACAUUAUUGUUUUAUUCUAGUAGAGCCAGAAUGAUAAUACCGUAUGAUAUAGGAUUUGCCAUAAUCUCCUCAGCUCUCUGGUUUCCCUACCUCCUUCCCUCCCCAAGUAGGACAUCAUCAGGAAUUAGAGAAAUUUUAUGUGUGUGCACCUUAAAAAACAAUGGAGGGAGACAAGAGACAGCUAGUCAUAAAAGUAUAAAAGGGAAUUAGGAAAGGAAUAAUAGUCAUAAUAACUAAAAAACAAUAAAAGAAGAUUAUGGUAGUGCAGCAAUUUUCCUGCCUUUUGGAAAAGCAAAAUGUUCCAUGUCUAUACUGCUGGUAGGUACACACUGGGACAGUGGUGGUGAUGAAAUAAUUUCAGAUAAUUUAAACAUGGAAAACAUACAUGAUACUUUGAUUUGAAAGUUCUUUUUUAAACUACUUCCCUUAUGAUUUACUUAAUAUACUCAGUAAAAUAUUUCUAUAAAACACAUUUCCAGAUUCAGACUUCACCAAGAUCUGAAUGCUAAUCUGGCCAACAACAGUUCUACAUUUGUGUUCUUGGUCUUCAUUAAAACCAUCAUUUAUUACUACUAACUAUAUAAUCUUGAAGAAGAAAAGGAAACAUGAAUACAAGAGUUAAAAUUUCUUACUAAGUAGCUUUUCUGUAAAUCACACAAAAGUUUUUUGUUUUUGUUUUUUUUUUUUGUAAAUAAAUGGCUUUGUCCUAGGAAAAAAAUAUUAGACAUCUUCAUUGGAUCAUGCAGUGUAGUAUAACAAAUGCCAUUAGAUGAUACAGUAAACUUAUUAAAAUUUACCUUCAGGUAGGUGGCUGGACCCAGAGCCUCGAUACAGAAUUGCAGUUGAAUCCUCUCUUUGCACACAGCCAAGAAAUAAAAGUUUG